rnacentral:piRNA from 1 species
UGCCAAAUCCUUCUCUAGGGAUCCUUC